rnacentral:tRNA from 1 species
AAGGGUAUAGCUCAAUGGUAGAGCACGUGCCUGGCAUGCAUGAGGUCCUAGGUUCAAUCCCCAGUGCCUCCA